GUCUAUGGCCAUACCACUCUGAACAAGCCCAGUGUCUGAUCUGGGAAGCUAAGCAGAUUCAGGCCUGGUUAAUACUUGGAAAGGAGACCACCUAGGAAGACCAGGUGCUGUAGACA
rnacentral:rRNA from 1 species